rnacentral:rRNA from 1 species
UAUACAGCGAAACUGCGAAUGGCUCAUUAUAUAAGUUAUCGUUUAUUUGAUAGUGCCUUACUACUUGGAUAACCGUGGUAAUUCUAGAGCUAAUACAUGCUAAAAACCCCGACUUCGGAAGGGGUGUAUUUAUUAGAUACAAAACCAAUGCCCUUCGGGGCUCUUUGGUGAUUCAUGAUAACUAUACGAAUCGCACGGCCUUGCGCCGGCGAUGGUUCAUUCAAAUUUCUUCCCUAUCAACUUUCGAUGUUUGGGUAUUGGCCAAACAUGGUUGCAACGGGUAACGGAGGGUUAGGGCUCGACCCCGGAGAAGGAGCCUGAGAAACGGCUACUACAUCCAAGGAAGGCAGCAGGCGCGAAAAUUACCCAAUCCCGACUCGGGGAGGUAGUGACAAUAAAUACUGAUACAGGGCCCUUUCGGGCCUUGUAAUUGGAAUGAGUACAAUUUAAAUCCCUUAACGAGGAACAAUUGGAGGGCAAGUCUGGUGCCAGCAGCCGCGGUAAUUCCAGCUCCAAUAGCGUAUAU